rnacentral:misc_RNA from 1 species
AUUUAGUCAACCAUCAAUAAUCAAAUUUGAGAUUACUCAUUAUCUAUACCCUUACAGAGGUAUAAAAAGAUAAAUGAGAUUUAACUGGAUUGAUCCAAAUAGAUUGUAAGUCACUAAUAAUCUUUGGUUACAUAAAGGAAUUUGGAUCUUCAACUAUGAAAAGCUUAUCAUUAUCUCUAAUCACUUCAAUAGAGUCAAUUUCUGAACCUUCUUCAUCUGUUACAAUGGCAUUUCUUGCAUCAAAUCUAAACUUUUCGCCUAUAAAACAGCAAGAGAUUGACGAAGUAAGGAAAUUUGCUACACAACAAGUUUUCAUGAAAAAGAAUUUUUGAUAUUCAAAGCAGAAAUCUAACCUGCAAUGCUCUUGAGCUCCUCUAUUGAAUUUGGCAAUCUGAUCAAUCUCCCCGAUUCCCUGCAACAAUUCUCUUUCCUAACCAGAGGAUGGCCUCUAUAUAUGCUCACCCUUACAUAUUUCAAUCCAAUGGAUUUUCCGGAGGAGUUGCAUUCUUCCUCUUCUUGAUUCAUCUUCGAAAUCACUUCAUCACUAGUCACAGUAUCUGGCAUUGUAAUCCUGUGUCCAAUUUCUCUCUUUUGCAUCAUUUCUUUCAAAGCUGUCGAAGAAAACUCGCUUCUGUUUGCUGCAGAAACAUCUGCACCAUUCAUUACUAGCAAGUCUACCAUGCCUACAUAAUUCUGUGCAAUGGCUAUUUGUACUGCUGUUUUUCCUUGGCGAUCCUUUGAGUCGACGUUUAGCCCAUGCUUCAAGAGUUCCUUCAUCAUUGUCAGAUCGUUCCGUUUCGCAGCAGUGCAUAAAAGAUCACCAGCAGUUUGAGGGUCAGAAACAUUUGCGAAGUGAUAGAGAAUUCUAAAUACAGAUUGGUGCUUUGAUGAUAAUGCUUCCCAUAAAGCAGUGUUUCCAUUAACAUCUCUCAAGUGUAUAUUGCAUCCAUGUCUAAGGAGUGCCAGGACACAGUCCUCAUGCCCUUUUGAGGCUGCAAUGUGCUGGUGCAUCACAAAAUUUCUCAAUAAACUAGUUCUUGUGCAGGAAAAACAAGAAAUUGUUGAGGAAGAAGCCAAUUAUGAUUAACAAAUUAGUUGAAUAUUUCCUUUUUCAUUCUUAAUUAAGUUCAACAAAUUAUGAAUAUGAAUAUGGUUAGAUAUAUAGGAGAAUACCAAUGGGGUUCUUCCCUUAGAGUCUCCAAUAUCAGGAUCCAAUUUUGCCCUUAGAAGUUCUUCAAGAAAAGCAGCAUUGCCUGCACUAGCUGCUGUCAGCAAAUUGAAAGCCAUGUUUGGAUCACCAUCUUCUUCUCCACCCUCAGUCAGAAAUUCUCCAAUCUUCAAAUCCUUGAGCUUCUUGUGAUGCUGAAGGAAGUUUUUAAUUAUAGCUAUAUAAUCUUCUUGUUUGGUCUGCAUAGUUUCUAUCAGAGCACUGCUUUUGAGCUUCAGGAGUUGUGAAAGUGUCCUGGUUCGAAAUGUGAAGCUUUGAUGCUUGCAACAAAGUGCACCAACUUCUCCAAAAAUGUCUCCAGACUGCAGAGUCCCAAAUACUCGCUCUUUAUCCAGAUCAGAAUCAAUAAUUUCUACCUCUCCAGAUACAAUUAUGUAAAUAUCAUCGGGUGCUUCAUUCUGCAUGAUGACAUCUUCUCUAGGUGGAAUGUACUCAGCUUUCAUCUCUGCGACCAGAAGCAGCAGUAUUUCCCUUGAGACACCCUUGAAAAGAUAAACCUUCUCCACUGUUGGCAAAAACAAAUGGUGGCAAAUGCAUUUGCAUAUGGAUUUUGGUAAUUGUUCAAUCAAAUGAUUCUGGUUCAAGCUCUCAGCCUUAAAUCUCAGACACAUAUAAGCCAAAAUCUGCUCUUUCAAUCUUGGAGGCAAGCGAUUUCUGCACACAAAAUUUGAUACUGCUUCAAUGCUACUCCUAAAUUCCAUGGUACGACGAGUUCCUUCCACGACUAGAUUCGUCAUGUUACCAAUCAAAUAAGCAGUGAGGCCAAGGUUGAAGAGCAUGUAGAAAAUAAUGAAGAUCAUUUCCACAGUGUUCACAGCAUGAAGGUCACCAUAACCAACUGUGGUCAUGGUGGUUACGGACCAGUACAAAGCUGAAAUAUAUCUAAUCCAAAGGCUCGUUUCUCUGAAAUUUGGGUUCACAGAACCUAGCCAUGUCUUUCCUUGAUGUGGGUAUCUGUCAGCUAGCAAGUAGUACAGGCACCCAGCACAAUGCACUAGAAACAGUGUGACAGACAGUAACCUAGCACAUCGGAUCCAGAAAUAGCUAAACCUUAUAUCCUUCUCCAGCCUAGUGAAGAGCUGCUUAACUCUCCUGAGACGCCAAAAUCUGAGGAUUCCCAAAAGGGAGUAAGAGAGUUGUAUCUUUUGUUUGCCUGUGAACAAGUAGCCCAAAGCCUCAAAUGGGAUAGUUGAUGUCACAUCCAUCAAGAACCAGGUUGAUAGGUACCUUAUAGAAAUCUUUCUUCUGUCGCGAACCAAAAGCUGGGUUCUUGAAUCAAUAUAAGCAACGAAGAAAGUUAAGACAAUAUCAAUGGCGAAAAAUAGAUCAACGAUGUUGUCUGCCAUGUAUAGCCUUUUAUUUCGAGAUGAAUUCAGAAAUGCUACUUCAAAUGGGUAUACCCAUGCCGAAUAAGCUACCAGCAGCACCAUAAAUGACUCCCAACACCUGUAUUUUGAAUCCAUAGGAGAUAUGAUCCAGCCUUUAGUCUCUGUAGGAAUCUGGUUAUAGCUAGAGACACCCAAAGGUGGAAGAAUAAUCUUGGACAAGCUAGAAAGAGAAAUAGAUGUAUCAUAUUCUUCGUGAUGAUGAGUAGUUUCUGUUUCUCCAUGGUGGUUUUUGCAACUCUUCUUCAUGUUAGAAGGCAGCUUAAGAUCAUUACUUGGUGCUAAUCUCAUUUCCAUUCUUGAAAACCAACAACUCUAGCUAUGUUCUUGGGAAGAAAGAAAGAGAGAGAGAGAUGAUAUCUUGGCAUGGCAAGGCCAGAAAGGAAAGCUAGGAAAGGGAAGGUUUUCUUCAAGGUAUAUUAUUGAAGGAGAUGGUCCUCUUAUUUAUUUAUUUUUUUUUUUUAACAAGAGAUUGAGAAUCAAGUUAAGCAUUUGAUGAAAUCAAGUUAAGCAAGGUGGAGCUAGAAAGAGAGAGAGAGAGAGAG